ACACCUAUAGGUUAAUGGUUAGACUAGCGGUCUCCAAAAUCGCAGAUGGGAGUUCGAUUCUCUCUGGGUGUG
rnacentral:tRNA from 1 species